UUUUUUUUUUUGAUUUUUUUUUAAGGGAGACUUUUUGGAAAUUAUUUUUUUUUUGUCAAAAAAUGAUUACAAAUAAGGGGAUUAUGCCUUUAGAGCAUGACAGUAAGUUGAUUUCUAACAACACUGGGCAUGUUUAAAGCAUAAAAAGUAUAGAUUUGCAUCUUUUUGUUAAAAAGUUGAAAAAAAAUAUUAUCCUAGGCCAUAAAAACAUUUAGGGUCGGGCCAAAAAUUUAGGGUAGGCCGGGAUACCAGAAACAAACAAUUUUUCUUUACGCCUUAUUGAGCAUUUAUAAUAUAGAUGACUCCAAUUUUAGGAUUUAAUUAUUUUGGCAAACUUCUGGAAGUGCAACAAGUACUAAAAGUCUUGUCUUAUUUGGAGACAGAUGCCCCCUCUCCACCCAACACAUAUUAGGCUAAUACUUCUAUUUACUUAUUUCAGCAUCCAAAUGGUGAUACUCUGUUGAGCUGUUUUCUUUCUGCAGAAGUUGUUACAACAGACCCUGUUGAAAGUUCUUUCACUGAUUCAGAUAUGGUCCACAUGUCGUUUCUAUAUGUAGGACAUACGCACGAAGACAUUGAUGCCUCAUUCAGUAAGAUCUCAGAAAAACUUAGAACGACAGAUGCAGAAACAGUUCCCCAAUUACUGAAUCUAGUAAGAAACAUUGAAGAUUUAAGUACACUGAAACUAUGGGAUGUUAAGUCAUGGCUAGAAUCUUCACUAACAAAAGUAAAAGGCGUCAGUGAACUGUUACAUUUUAAAAUUACGAAAACAUCUGGAAAAAUAAAGGUUGUUUAUAAAGGCAACAGCAUCAGUUAUGGACUGUGUUAGAUGGCAGAGGUACUUUUCUCAGAAAUCUACCAACUUCAAAAAUAAAACAGUUAAAACCAAACUAUAAAAACAUUCUAGAAAAAAUUGAGACAAUUAAAAAACAAAUCAGUGCAAUUAGUUACAUGUUUGAAAGCAGUGAAAAUCAUCUUUGGUGGAAAGCUUUUUUUGGAGAAAAUAAAUACAGUGAUGCCAAUGAGAACAAAAGAGGACAUUAUAUGGAUUACCCAACUACCAAAACAGCAAAAAAAACAACAAAGAAACAUUAAAGACAACCUGGAUCCAAUACUUAGAAAGAUGUUGGAAAAGGAAACACUAAAAGUAGACCUGUGUUAUCCUGUGAAAAAAGACGAAAUUUAAAAACUAGCCGAGGGAAGCAGAAGUCGAAAAAAACAGAGCGUAUCCACGGAGGAAGAAGUGGUGUUAACCGUCAAAGCACUGCAGUACAGGUCAAUAGAAAAAAAAAUAAAUCAACAACACCAGCAGUGCCAAAGAGAAACAGACAAACAGGAAGGCGAAUCAUGAGAUGGAAUAGCUCAAGAUGGAUCACCAUACUCACCGAUGAUGAGAGGAAAAGACACAUAUGGUUGAUAAUCAUCUUCGAACUUCUGGGACAUUUACUACUGUACAUUAUCUAUGUUUUAAUAAUGACCAGAUGUAUCAAAGAACUUUUUGUUAUGAUGGACAGAGUUUGGAAAGCUAUUUUGUUAGCACACUUGGGUCAAUUUCUGUGUGUUCUUACAGUAAACACAUACUUGGAACACUUUUGUUUUGUGUUUUGUAAUGUUAAAAAGUCAUUUCCGUGCAGUUUAUUGGUUUCGUAUCCUUCCAGGCAUUCACUUAGUAUUACGCAAUAAACAAUCAGCACAUUUUUAAUAUCACUGGAAGACAAAGCACUCAAAGGUAUCAUUGUGAUCUCCUUUUUGUCCGUUGUCAAUCUGUACGUCUGUUCACAUUUAGUUAUAUAAGGCUUGGUCAGACUGUUUGUCUUCAUAAAAUCUCGGCCAAGUUCGACAGUGGAUCAUGUAGGUUUAAAAGGUAGUUCACUAGAUCAAAUUACAGAUAAACCUUGUGAACACUCUAGAAAUUUUUAAGUGUUAUGGUAUUGGAUCACUAAUAGAGAACCUCCUUUUUUGAAGAAAAUUCCUAGUACCAUCAACCUACUUUUACAGCAAUUUUUAGGGGGGUGUAGGUUCAAGCCCUACUGGGACCAUUUUUUUUUUUCCUUUUUUACUAGUAAGUUUUUAUUUCUUUCAAUACUUAUUAUUGAUGUUUUGUACAAAAUGCUGAUGUCCGUACAUCCGAUAGAAUUUUCGUGUCUGUUGUGUAACUCUUGAAGCCUUGAAGGAUUUCAACGACACUUGGCACAAAUGUUCACCACAUUAAGAUGAUGUGCAGAGUGCAUGUUUCGAAUGGCUCCCUUCAGUGUCACACAGGGGUCAAACGCCAUAUGUCUUUGUUUCAUGUAUAUAUUGCUCUGCAUUGCGGUGCUUUUGUUUUUAUUUGGCAGAUACCAUAUUUGUUCGCUUACUAUAAUUUUCAUAGAAUUACUUCCCUUUGAUGUUGCUAAAAAUAGUUUAUUUUGUAAUUAUGUUAUUUGCCUUGGGUAAAAGCCAAG